CAAAAACAUGUCUUUUAGAUUAUAAUUUAAAGUCUAACCUGCCCACUGAUUUUAUAUUUAAGGGCCGCAGUAUUUUGACUGUGCAAAGGUAGCAUAAUCAUUUGUCUUUUAAUUGAAGGCUAGAAUGAAUGGUUGAAUGAAGUAUUGACUGUCUCAUUUUAAUAAAUUAAGAAUUUAGCUUUUUAAUUAAAAGGUUAAAAUGUAGUUAAAAGACGAGAAGACCCUAUAGAUUUUUAUAUUAAUAUUAUUUAUAUGAAUUAGAAGAUUAAUUAAGUAUAUUUAUAUAUUAAUAUUUGAUUGGGGUGAUUAAAAAAUUUAAUAAACUUUUUUUAUUUUAAACAUUGAUUUAUGAUUAAUUGAUCCAAUUUUAUUGAUUAAAAAUUUAAAUUACCUUAGGGAUAACAGCGUAAUUUUUUUGGAGAGUUCAUAUCGAUAAAAAAGAUUGCGACCUCGAUGUUGAAUUAAAGUUAAUAUUUAAGUGUAGUAGUUUAAAUGUUAGGUCUGUUCGACCUUUAAAUCUUUACAUGAUCUGU
rnacentral:rRNA from 1 species